AAUGAACGUUGGCGGCGUGGAUUAGGCAUGCAAGUCGCGCGCUUCCCUUCGGGGAGGAGCGGCGGAAGGGAGAGUAACGCGUAGAUACCUGCCCUCGGGACCGGAAUAGCGACGGGAAACUGUCGGUAAUGCCGGAUAACGUCCCUGGACCAAAGGUGUGAUUCCGCCUGAGGAGGGGUCUGCGUCCUAUUAGCUAGUCGGCGGGGUAACGGCCCACCGAGGCGAAGAUGGGUACCGGGCGUGAGAGCGUGACCCGGCUCACUGGGACUGAGACACUGCCCAGACACCUACGGGUGGCUGCAGUCGAGAAUCUUCGGCAAUGAGCGCAAGCUUGACCGAGCGACGCCGCGUGCGGGAUGAAGGCCUUCGGGUUGUAAACCGCUGUCAGUGGGGAGGAAAUUCGUGGGGGUUCUCCCCCUCGAUUGACCGAUCCGCAGAGGAAGGACGGGCUAAGUUCGUGCCAGCAGCCGCGGUAAGAC
rnacentral:rRNA from 1 species